rnacentral:rRNA from 1 species
GAUCCUGGCUCAGGAUGAACGCUAGCGACAGGCUUAACACAUGCAAGUCGAGGGGCAGCACGGUGUAGCGAUACACUGGUGGCGACCGGCGCACGGGUGAGUAACACGUGUGCAACCAACCCCGUACCGGGAGAUAACCCGCGGAAACGUGGACUAACAUCCCAUGAGACUCUAGAUCCGCAUGGCUCUAGAUUUAAAAUUCCGGUGGUACGGGACGGGCACGCGCGACAUUAGGUAGUUGGCGGGGGUAAAGGG